AUUGAACGCUAGCGGGAUGCUUUACACAUGCAAGUCGAACGAGUGGCGGAAGGGUGAGUAAUAAAUUCGAACGGGCCCAGUAGCGGGGGAUAAAUACUCGAAAGGGUGGCUAAUUACGCAAUCUCUUGCAGCGGCCGGUAACGGAUUAGCUAGUUUGUGGGGCAAAGGCUCACCAAGGCCACGAUCCGUAGCGGGUUUUAGGGGACGACCAGCCACACGGGGACUGAGACACGGCCCAGACGCCUACGGGAGGCAGCAGUGGGGAAUUUUGGACAAUGGGGGAAACCCUGAUCCAGCCAUCCCGCGUGUAUGAGAAGGCCUUCGGGUUGUAAAGUACUUUUGGCAGAGAAGCGGUAUCUGCAGAAUAAGCACCGGCUAACUACGUGCCAGCAGCCGCGGUAAUAC
rnacentral:rRNA from 1 species